GUGGGGAAUUUUGGACAAUGGGCGAAAGCCUGAUCCAGCCAUGCCGCGUGUGUGAAGAAGGUCUUCGGAUUGUAAAGCACUUUAAGUUGGGAGGAAGGGCAGUAAGUUAAUACCUUGCUGUUUUGACGUUACCAACAGAAUAAGCACCGGCUAACUUCGUGCCAGCAGCCGCGGUAAUACGAAGGGUGCAAGCGUUAAUCGGAAUUACUGGGCGUAAAGCGCGCGUAGGUGGUUCAGCAAGUUGGAGGUGAAAUCCCCGGGCUCAACCUGGGAACUGCCUCCAAAACUGCAUGACUAGAGUACGGUAGAGGGUAGUGGAAUUUCCUGUGUAGCGGUGAAAUGCGUAGAUAUAGGAAGGAACACCAGUGGCGAAGGCGACUACCUGGACUGAUACUGACACUGAGGUGCGAAAGCGUGGGGAGCAAACAGGAUUAGAAACCCCUGUAGUCC
rnacentral:rRNA from 1 species